rnacentral:lncRNA from 1 species
GGGGAGCCAGGAGCGCAUAGGAGCCAGAUCUUCCUCAUCUGGGGGGAAGGAGGUUCCCACCAGAAUCCUGCCCUCACCGGCUCCUCCCCAAAUCCCUCUAAGCUGGGUGUGUGUGUGUGUGGGGGGAAUGGAGAGGGGCCUGCGCCCCGGAGCCACCCAGAUGUAACUGCCGGGUUAAGGGGACUGAGGCUAUCGCCGCCCUGCUGGAGACCCCUCCUAACCUGCGCUGCCGGGUCCGUCGCCGACGGGUCGUUCUUGGGGUGCAGCCCGGAGGCUCAGCUGGAAGGUAGGCGGGAAGUGGGCAGGGACCAGUGUCCAGGCCCCAGAGGACAGAAGGGACCCCUAGGCGGGGGGGGGGGGGGGGGGAGAAGGUGCAGCCGGGGGCUCAGGCUGAGGCCGCCCCUGCUGAGGACCUCCCCUUCCCGCUUCUCCGGGUCCUCCCACAGCGACGGAGCGUCCCUGGGAGAGCAGUUCAGGCCCGGAGGGGGGAGCCAAGGGCUCGCCGGUGCCAGUCGCCGACGGGGCGCGCUCCGGUGCCGCGGCGGGUGGCACAGGCUGGCAGCCAUGGGCUGGGUGCCCGGGCCCCAAGGGGAGGGGGCGACUGCUGGCGACCGCCAGAGGUCCACGUUGUGGGCCCUCCUCCUCCCCCUCGCCUGCCGGCUCCAGCCCCGCCCGUCUCACCCCCGCCCCCCACGCCGAGCCGCGUCCGUUCCCACUGAUCCCGGCAGCGCGACUGCCGGGGGCGCACGACCAGGGCGCAGGGGAAAUUCGAGGCAAGGCAGGAGACGCAGAGGCUGUGAGCCUGUGCUCGGUGUCCCCAUCCGAGCGUCACCCGUGUCUGCAUGUAUCUGAUGCCUCCUUCCCCGCAGCGCGGCUGAGUCCGGGACUCCCUGGGUCUGUAUUUGCUCAUGGUUCCCUGAGGGCACCGAUGCCGUCCGGGAUGCAUUUGUUCCCGCCCUGGGCAAAGAAGUCCGUUCCCCUUCCCAGGCCUCGGUUUUCUCAUUAAGUGGGACUCGCGCGACCGUGUAACCAUUUCUAAGUAGCUGUAUGUGUGUUGAAACAUGAAAACCUUCGUGUCGGCUUCCAGUCGCAGCUUCCAGUCUGUAAACUGGGACUGAGGGGAGAGCUGCUGGGGGGUAUUAGAGGGUGAAGCCUUGGACGGGAAGUACUAUUACACUCUAAUGA